rnacentral:rRNA from 1 species
UGCAGUCGAGGGGUAGGUCAAGCUUGCUUGACACACGACCGGCGCACGGGUGCGUAACGCGUAUGCAACCUACCCUUAACAGUGGGAUAGCCCGAAGAAAUUCGGAUUAAUACCGCAUAAUAUUCUGAAGCGACAUCGCUUUAGGAUCAAAACUCCGGUGGUUAAGGAUGGGCAUGCGUGACAUUAGCUAGUUGGUGAGGUAACGGCUCACCAAGGCAUCGAUUGUCUAGGGGUUCUGAGAAGAUGAUCCCCCCCACUGGUACUGAGAACGGACCAAACUCCUACGGGAGGCAGCAGUAAGGAAUAUUGGUCAAUGGACGCAAGUCUGAACCAACCAUGGCGCGUGCAGGAAGACGGCCUUAUGGGUUGGAAACUGCUUUUAUACAGGAAUAAUUUUCCGUACGCGUACGGGAUUGAAGGUACUGUAGGAAUAAACACCGGCUAACUCCGUGCCAGCAGCCGCGGUAAUACG